GCUUGUCUCAAAGAUUAAGCCAUGCAUGUCUAAGUGUAAAUACGUCUACACUGUGAAACUGCGAAUGGCUCAUUAAAUCAGUUAUCGUUUAUUUGAUGAUCUCUUGUUACAUGGAUAACCGUAGUAAUUCUAGAGCUAAUACAUGCGUCAAGCCCCGACUCACGAAGGGGUGUAUUUAUUAGAUUCAAAGCCAACCGCGCAAGCGUACCUUGGUGAUUCAUAAUAACUUGUCGAACCGCACGCCCUUGAGGCAGCGGUGAUUCAUUCAAAUUUCUGCCCUAUCAACUUUCGAUGGUACGGUAUUGGCCUACCAUGGUUACCACGGGUAACGGGGAAUUAGGGUUCGGUUCCGGAGAGGGGGCCUGAGAAAUGGCCACCACAUCCAAGGAAGGCAGCAGG
rnacentral:rRNA from 1 species